rnacentral:rRNA from 1 species
CGCUGCGGUAUUUGGCUCAUUGGGCGAAGUCCUGAUCCAGCCAUGCCGCGUGAGUGAUGAAGGCCUUCGGGUUGUAAACCUCUUUUGUCAGGGAAGAAACUGACUGGACCCUUACCAAAAAGUCCUGAUAUUUUCGUGCCAACACCCCCCCGGA